UCCCUGGAGGUCCAGUGGUUAGGACUCAGAGCUUUCACUACUGUGGCCUAGGUUUGAUCCCUGGCCAGAGAA
rnacentral:tRNA from 1 species